rnacentral:rRNA from 1 species
AGCGAACGCUGGCGGCAGGCCUAACACAUGCAAGUCGAACGGCCGUAGCAAUACGGCAGUGGCAGACGGGUGAGUAACACGUGGGAAUGUACCCUUCGGUUCGGAAUAACCCAGGGAAACUUGGGCUAAUACCGGAUACGCCCUUACGGGGAAAGAUUUAUCGCCGAAGGAUCAGCCCGCGUCCGAUUAGCUUGUUGGUGGGGUAAUGGCCCACCAAGGCUGCGAUCGGUAGCUGGUCUGAGAGGAUGAUCAGCCACACUGGGACUGAGACACGGCCCAGACUCCUACGGGGGGCAGCAGUGGGGAAUAUUGGACAAUGGGCGCAAGGCUGAUCCAGCCAUGCCGCGUGAGUGAUGAAGGCCCUAGGGUUGUAAAGCUCUUUCGGCGGGGAAGAUAAUGACGGUACCCGCAGAAGAAGCCCCGGCUAACUUCGUGCCAGCAGCCGCGGUAAUACGAAGGGGGCUAGCGUUGCUCGGAAUCACUGGGCGUAAAGCGCACGUAGGCGGGUCCGUU